GGGCCUAUAGCUCAGUUGGGAGAGCGCUGCGUUCGCAAUGCAGAGGUCAGGGGUUCAAAUCCCCUUAGGUCCA
rnacentral:tRNA from 1 species